rnacentral:misc_RNA from 1 species
AUAGCAUACCACAUUGUGUAUUUGGAUUGCAUCCCAAAGUUGGUUCCUUUUCUAUAUGAUCAGAGUCUUGCAGGAUAUUGCCUUAAUAUUAUGAAGUCCUUGUGUGAUAUUGAGGAAGGUAAGAAUGCAGUUGCUGAAACUAAUUCUUGCGUUGCUUCAAUUGUCACUCUUCUGGAAACUGGUAGCAAGCAUGAGCAANNNNNNNNAUGGAAGUUCUACUGUCUCUAUGCUAUGAGCACAUUGAACAUUGUCAACAGAUCAUGGGAGAAGGUACUGUAAAAUCUUUGAUCAAUAUGUCUGUUAAUGGGAAUCCAAGAGUAAAGGUUAUUGCCUCAGAAUUGCUCCAGAUUUUGGGGCAUACAACAGAAGGUGAUGUCUCAAAUUGUUCUACAUUUAGUGCUGGCUUGAGCAUGGGCAUCUCCAGUGACUCUGGCAGUGGUAAUCAUAUUAAAGUGAAAAAAUCACCUUCCAAGGGAUUUGGAUAUCUGGGAAGAAAAAUUGCGAGACUUUUUCACCACAGUCGUUAGUGAGAAAUUGUCUACUGAGAGUUCAUGUGGUGGGG